rnacentral:rRNA from 2 species
AAGCGAGUGGCGAACUGGUGAGUAACACGUGGGGAAUCUGCCCAGAAGCAGGGGAUAACACUUGGAAACAGGUGCUAAUACCGUAUAACAACAAAAUCCGCAUGGAUUUUGUUUGAAAGGUGGCUUCGGCUAUCACUUCUGGAUGAUCCCGCGGCGUAUUAGUUAGUUGGUGAGGUAAAGGCCCACCAAGACGAUGAUACGUAGCCGACCUGAGAGGGUAAUCGGCCACAUUGGGACUGAGACACGGCCCAAACUCCUACGGGAGGCAGCAGUAGGGAAUCUUCCACAAUGGACGAAAGUCUGAUGGAGCAAUGCCGCGUGAGUGAAGAAGGGUUUCGGCUCGUAAAACUCUGUUGUUAAAGAAGAACACCUUUGAGAGUAACUGUUCAAGGGUUGACGGUAUUUAACCAGAAAGCCACGGCUAACUACGUGCCAGCAGCCGCGGUAAUACGUAGGUGGCAAGCGUUGUCCGGAUUUAUUGGGCGUAAAGCGAGCGCAGGCGGUUUUUUAAGUCUGAUGUGAAAGCCUUCGGCUUAACCGGAGAAGUGCAUCGGAAACUGGGAGACUUGAGUGCAGAAGAGGACAGUGGAACUCCAUGUGUAGCGGUGGAAUGCGUAGAUAUAUGGAAGAACACCAGUGGCGAAAGCGGCUGUCUAGUCUGUAACUGACGCUGAGGCUCGAAAGCAUGGGUAGCGAACAGGAUUAGAUACCCUGGUAGUCCAUGCCGUAACGAUGAGUGCUAGUGUUGAGGGUUUCGCC